GUGGGCCGUGCCGAAGUGCUGUGCUGCCUCUUUUUCCUGCUGUCUUUCCUCUGCUACCACAGCUGCCAACUUUCCAGCGAUGUCCGAGGAGGUCACGCAAGGUCAAAGUGGCUCGCAGCCUGCGGUCUGCUCUCUGUGUGUGCUCUGCUUUCUAAGGAGCAAGGCAUCACCGUUCUGCCGCUCUGCAUGGCUCUCAGAAUACGAACAUUAGUGCUUGAUUAUACGCACCGGGAGCACCAAGCACAGCGUCCUAAUAGUCACUGCCGACAAUGGCCAAUAUUCUGUUACUUCAUACGAGACACUGUCCACCGAUGCAUCACGGAUCGAGAGC